AUUGAACGCUGGCGGCAGGCCUAACACAUGCAAGUCGAGCGGGGUUUUCGGACCUAGCGGCGGACGGGUGAGCAAUGCGUAGGAAGCUGCCCGAUAGAGGGGGAUACCAGUUGGAAACGACUGUUAAUACCGCAUAAUGUCUACGGACCAAAGUGUGGGACCUUCGGGCCACAUGCUAUCGGAUGCGCCUACGUGGGAUUAGCCAGUUGGUGAGGUAAUGGCUCACCAAGGCGACGAUCUCUAGCUGGUUUGAGAGGAUGAUCAGCCACACUGGAACUGAGACACGGUCCAGACUCCUACGGGAGGCAGCAGUGGGGAAUAUUGGACAAUGGGCGCAAGCCUGAUCCAGCCAUGCCGCGUGUGUGAAGAAGGCCUUCGGGUUGUAAAGCACUUUCAGCGAGGAGGAAGGGUGGUGUGUUAAUAGCACAUCAUUUUGACGUUACUCGCAGAAGAAGCACCGGCUAACUCUGUGCCAGCAGCCGCCGUAACAC
rnacentral:rRNA from 1 species